rnacentral:rRNA from 1 species
CUCCUACGGGAGGCAGCAGUAGGGAAUCUUCCACAAUGGACGAAAGUCUGAUGGAGCAAUGCCGCGUGAGUGAAGAAGGGUUUCGGCUCGUAAAACUCUGUUGUUAAAGAAGAACACCUUUGAGAGUAACUGUUCAAGGGU